GAUGAAGAACGUAGCAAAAUGCGAUAAGUAAUGUGAAUUGCAGAAUUCAGUGAAUCAUCGAAUCUUUGAACGCACAUUGCGCCCGCCAGUAUUCUGGCGGGCAUGCCUGUUCGAGCGUCAUUUCAACCAUCAAGCCCCCGGCUUGUGUUGGGGACCUGCGGCUGCCGCAGGCCCUGAAAACCAGUGGCGGGCUCGCUGUCACACCGAGCGUAGUAGAUUUUCAUCUCGCUCAGGGCGUGCUGCGGGUUCCGGCCGUAAAAAGCCUUAUUUACCCAAGGUUGACCUCGGAUCAGGUAGGAAGACCCGCUGAACUUAAGCAUAUCAAUAAGCGGAGGA
rnacentral:misc_RNA from 1 species